rnacentral:misc_RNA from 1 species
GAAAUAAACCUGGUAAGUUGCUGCUGGUUCUCUAGGGAACAUGUGCACACUUGUCAUCUUUGUGUCUUCACCUGUGCACCUUUUGUAGACCUGAGUAUCUCUCUGAAUGCUUUAGCAUUUAGGAUUGAGGAUUGACUUUCUGUCUUUUCUUACAUUUUCAGAUCUAUGUUUCAUUCAUAUAUCCCUAAUGUAUGUGUUUAGAAUGUAAUCAAUGGGCCUUUGUGCCUAUAAACCUUUACAACUUUCAGCAACGGAUCUCUUGGCUCU